rnacentral:rRNA from 1 species
CAGUAGCCGCGGGAAUACGGAGGGAGCUAGCGUUGUUCGGAAUCACUGGGCGUAAAGCGCACGUAGGCGGCUAUUCAAGUCAGGGGUGAAAGCCCGGGGCUCAACCCCGGAACUGCCUUUGAAACUAGAUAGCUUGAAUCUUGGAGAGGCGAGUGGAAUUCCGAGUGUAGAGGUGAAAUUCGUAGAUAUUCGGAAGAACACCAGUGGCGAAGGCGACUCGCUGGACAAGUAUUGACGCUGAGGUGCGAAAGCGUGGGGAGCGAACAGGAUUAGAUACCCCCGUAGUCCCUGUCUCUUAUAC